rnacentral:lncRNA from 1 species
UGCAAGUCCCACCCCUCCACUGUCCCCAUUCACUUCCAUGUUGUGUGCAGAAGAAAGAGUAAAGGACCCCGACCAAGGCUCUGAGGGCUGGUGCUGCCUUCCACGUCUGACUCUGCCAAGAAGUGCCUGGAGCCCUUGUUUUCGGGGAGGAAGUAUCUCUGGUGGGUUUUGAAGUUUCUGUGUGAUUUCUCUUAACAUUAAAUCAAUACUGGAAG